rnacentral:lncRNA from 1 species
CCGCUUUCAACAGCCUAUCUGGGUGCAGCAUCACAUCCAACAUGACCAGCCACAGAAAGGUGGUGUUACUUCAGCUCCAGGACCAUCCGUUCUGAUUGUUCAUCAAACACGUGGGCACAGCCAGAGUGUUUCCAUCAUGACACAAACAGGUCCUGUGGGGAUUACAGAAGAGUCAUGUCCUGGCUAGAAUGCUACACUACAACUGACCCAGCUUAACAAUUACUCCAUUAUGAUUUCAAGCAGAAAACAUCAGUGGGAAACUGCUCUGAGUGAGGACAGAUACUACAGAACAGGCACGUAUCAAAAAUUGUAAUUGUUUCACUCAAAUACAUUUACUAUGUGCAUGCUGUGUGUAACGUGACGCAGG